rnacentral:tRNA from 1 species
GGGGUUGUAGCUCAGUGGUAGAACACUUGCCUCGCAAUCAUGAGGCCCUGGGUUCGAUCCUCAGCACCA